GAUGAACGCUGGCGGCGUGCCUAAUACAUGCAAGUCGAGCGAAGCGGGGACGGGUGAGUAACACGUGGAUAACCUCCUAUAAGACUGGGUUACCUUCGGAAAACCGGGGCUAUCCCCGAUACUGAUAACUUGAUCCGCGCUGCAUUAGCUAGUUGGUAAGGUAACGGCUUACCAAGGCAACGAUGCAUAGCCGACCUGAGAGGGUGAUCGGCCACACUGGAACUGAGACACGGUCCAGACUCCUACGGGAGGCAGCAGUAGGGAAUCUUCCGCAAUGGGCGAAAGCCUGACGGAGCAACGCCGCGUGAGUGAUGAAGGUCUUCGGAUCGUAAAACUCUGUUAUUAGGGAAGCGGUACCGGAAUAGAAAGCCACGGCUAACUACGUGCCAGCAGCCGCGGUAAUAC
rnacentral:rRNA from 1 species